AUGGCGCUGCUCGCAAAGCGUUUUUGGUGUUGGGCGUCAGCAGCGGCUGCUUUCGAAAAACGCCAGCACUCAGCGAUUCCAAUCCCGUCUUUAGUCACUGUUAGCAGCUCAGGUCUGCAAUGGAGGUCACAUCAACUCGGCGCCUUGGGAACCCCUCCAGCCUACAAGGCUCUCCAGGCAUGGCCACUGAUAGAAAAGAGGACAUGUUGGCAUGGUCAUGCAGGAGGAGGACUCCACACAGACCCAAAAGAAUGAUUAAAAGAUGUUGAUACUCAGAAAAUCAUAAAAGCAAUGGUUUCUUAUGUGUAGCCCAAAGACAGGCCAGAUUUACGAGCUAGAAUUGCCAUUUCUCUGAGAUUUUGGGGUGGUGCAAAGGCCAUGAACUUUGUGGUUCCCUUCACGUGUAAAUAUGCUGUAGACAGCCUCAACCAGAUGUUGGGAAACUUGCUGAACCUGAGUGAUGCACCAAAUACAGUUGCAACCAUGGCAACAGCAGUUCUGAUUGGCUGUGGUGUAUCAAGAGCCGGAGCUGCUGUUUUUAAUGAAGAUCGAAAUGCAAUAUUUGGCAAGUUAGCCCAAAAUUCAAUCCGAAGAAUAGCCAAAAAUGUCUUUCUCCGUCUUCACAACCUGGAUCUGGGUUUUCACCUGAGCAGACAGACUGGAGCUUUAUCUAAGGCUAUUGACAGAGGAACAAGGGGUAUCAGUUUUGUCCUGAGUACUUUGGUGUACCUGAGUACUUUCUUCCUAUUAUGUUUGAAGUGAUGCUUGUCAGUGGUGUUUUUUAUUACAAAUACAGUGCCCAGUUUGCUUUGGUAACCCUCGGAACACUUGGUACACACACAGCAUUCACAGUUGCAGUCACACAAUGGAGAACUAGAUUUAGAAUAGAAAUGAACAAAGCAGAUAAUGAUGCAGGUAAUGCUGCUAUAGGCUCACUGCUGAAUUAUGAAACUGUGAAGUAUUUUAAUAAUGAAAGAUAUGAAGCACAGAGAUAUGAUGGAUUUUUGAAGAUGUAUGAGACUGCUUCAUUGAAAAGUACCUCUACUCUGGCUAUGCUGAACUUUGGUCAAAGUGCUAUUUUCAGCGUCGGUUUAACAGCUAUAAUGAUCUUCACUAGUCAGGAAAUUGUGGAAGGUACCCUUACUGUUGGAAAUCUAGUAAUGGUGAAUGGACUGCUUUUUCAGCUUUCAUUACCCCUGAACUUUCUGGAAACUGUAUACAGAGAGACUAGACAAGCACUCAUAGAUAUGAACACCUUGUUUACUAUACUCAAGGUAGACACCCGAAUUAAAGACAAAGUGAUGGCAUCUCCCCUUCAGAUCACACCACAG